CAGAGUCUAACGAUUCUGUAAUUGGAAUGAACUAAGCUUAAAACCCUUUAUGAGUAACAAUUGGAGGGCAAGUCUGGUGCCAGCAGCCGCGGUAAUUCCAGCUCCAAUAGCGUAUAUUAAAGUUGUUGCAGUUAAAAAGCUCGUAGUUAGACUUCGAUUAAAUAUAUAUUUAGUAUCUUAGGGUAUCAUUUAUCAUUAACUUCUCCUUCCUUUACUAACGUAACGGAAAUUUUACUUUGAGAAAAUUAGGGUGCUUAAGGCAGGCUUUUGCCAUGAAUACUCCGGCAUGGAAUAAUAAGAAAUGACUUUUAUUUUUCUUAUUGGUUCUAAAGUAAAGAUAAUGAUUAAUAGGAUCGGUUGGGGGCAUUUGUAUUCAACAGUCAGAGGUGAAAUUCUUAGAUUUGUUGAAGACAAACUACUGCGAAAGCAUUUGCCAAGGAUGUUUUCAUUAAUCAAGAGCGAAAGUUAGGGGAUCGAAGACGAUCAGAUACCGUCGUAGUCUUAACCAUAAACUAUACCAACUAGAGAUUGGAGGUUGUUCCUUACUCCUUA
rnacentral:rRNA from 1 species